rnacentral:lncRNA from 1 species
GGGAGGUAGACGAAGACGACAAUGCAUAUAUUUAAGUCUAUCAGGACAGAUAAAUUGAGUUCUGAGAAAACAAAUAUUCCGCUAUGUUACCUUGAAAACGUGAUGAAUUGCCUAUAAAUUAAGCAGUCACGAACAGAAGGACAGAAAACGUCCUUCAAAGACUUACUCAAAACUCAGAUAUGUUAAAGAAGUACGGGAACAUUAUACAAGAACAGGAACGAAGAGGAUUCAUAGAGAAGGUAGAUGAAACAGAUGAACUUAAGAAAAGUAUCACUACAUUCCUUAUUAUCCUGUACAGAAGGAAUCAAGCACUAUGCCUAUCAAAAUUGUUUACAACUGCAUUUGUCGACAUCGCAUAAUUCGCAAAGUUUGAAUGACUGAUUUGUAUGUGGACAACAUUCUGUUAAGUUUACAGAACGAGGGUGGGCUGACUAUAAGGAAGGGAGAUCAAUGAUGGAGGAAACUGGAUUCUAUCUACGAUCCUGGACGUCAAACCGU